AGGGCACCACCAGGAGUGGAGCCUGCGGCUUAAUUUGACUCAACACGGGGAAACUCACCCGGCCCGGACACCGGAAGGAUUGACAGAUUGAUAGCUCUUUCUUGAUUCGGUGGAUGGUGGUGCAUGGCCGUUCUUAGUUGGUGGAGCGAUCUGUCUGGUUAAUUCCGAUAACGAACGAGACUCUAGCCUAUUAAAUAGACGUCGGGUUCUCUGCACUCGACGGUCUUCUUAGAGGGACAAGGUGCUUUUAGCACCGCGAAACAGAGCAAUAACAGGUCUGUGAUGCCCUUAGAUGUCCGGGGCCGCACGCGCGCUACACUGAAGGAAGCAGCGUGUAACAACCUUGUUCUAACGAACUGGGUAACCCGUGGAACUUCCUUCAUGAUUGGGAUAGGGGUUUGCAAUUGUGCCCCUUGAACGAGGAAUUCCCAGUAAACACUAGUCAUCAGCUAGUGCUGAUUACGUCCCUGCCCUUUGUACACACCGCCCGUCGCUACUGCCGAUUGAAUGGUUUAGUGA
rnacentral:rRNA from 1 species